CUGCCAUGAGAUUACAACUCUCCACCAGUCAUUAAUUAUGGUAUUUUCUAGAUGCUAAACUUUUUUUUAAGAUAGAUAUGAUUAAAUCGUACAGAAAUUUUCGUUACCUAACCUGAUUCAUACUCUACUACUAACCUAUUUAUUCCACGUUGAUAAACUCUGUUUCUUUUGAAACUGAAACUGACAUAGACGAGACUAUUACUUUUAUCUCAUGAUGAAAAAUGAUGGAUGUCAAGUAGUAUUAAUAUCUUUAAACUACUCUUAACCUAAAAAAAAUUGAAAACCCUAAAUUAAUAUACUCGUACUCCUGAUAGCAAGUUUAACCACAAAAUUCAAUUACAAACAGAAUAUUCUUGAAUGAUACUUGGAUUAUUUAAGAGAUGGUUGUAACUUUUUUUUUUUUUUUUUUCUAAACGAGAUGGUUGUAACUUGUACGUGGGAGUGUUAAGUACUCACUUUUGAAAUUAAAAUAUUUACAAACUUGGUAUCACAGAGACCAUAUGCAUUACACAUACAUACAUAUAUGGUAUUCAAUCACUCCAUAUACACACACACACACAAUACAUAUUGUUGUUAAAAGUUACUUAACAAGAUUGCUGUUAAAAAAAAUUACAAACCGGCCACAAAAAUUGAUCUUUAUCUAUAAGUAUGGUCGUUCUUGUGGCCGUUUUGUAGAUCAUUGUUCAUAUAAAAUAUGACAAAACAUUAAAAAAGUUCGAAAAAAAUACGAGUUUGAUUAACGGAUAUCAUUGUGUUUUUUUAGUUAUGUUUUUGGGUUAUAACUUAUAAGGUAUAAAUAGAUAAAAUUUGUGUUAUAGACAUGCAUAUUAAUAUAGGCUGGAGUUAAUAUAGGUUAGACUAGUGAAUAGUGAUGGAGUUCACCUCUAUCUCUAUAACAUUUACAAGAAGACGUGUAUGUAUGUAGACAUGCAAAUUAAUAUAGGGGUUGAUGGGAGGUUGAAUUGAAUUUGGGUAUACGAAGACAAAACGGAAAAGAGUUGCAAAAAGAAAGCAAAAGGCCUAACUUGUAGGCAGGAAGAGUGGUGGAAGUAUGAUGUAGAAAGAGCAAAGUGACAUCUCUUUAUUUUGUUUUGUUUUGUUGUUUAUUUUUGAGACACAAUCUUCCCAUUUGUUCACUUCAAUGUUCCUUCAUCUUGCUUUCGGUCAUUUCCUAUGCCCCAUUCGCUCUCUCAACUUUUCUCCUUACAACCAAAUUCUAUUUCUUUCCUUUUUUUUCUUCCGCACACUAUACAUAUUGACAUUGUAGUUUGGUAUUGUAUUGGGGGAUUAACUUUAUAAGGAGUGUCAAUGGGCCAAGGCUUGAAGAAUUGUUGAUUAGUGAGUCUUGAAAAGUGACCAGGGAGGAAAACUUAGUUUAAGGUUCAAGCCUAUGUGUGGAUGGAUCACUCAAGAACUCUGCCUCUGAAGCCCUUUAACAAUGUUUGGCCCACUGGCACUGACUAUGAAAUUAGGAUCGAAUUUUGUACGGAUCAUCAAUCAAAAACCAAACUAC
rnacentral:lncRNA from 1 species